rnacentral:rRNA from 1 species
AUUGAACGCUGGCGGCAUGCCUAACACAUGCAAGUCGAACGGUAACGCGGAGAGCUUGCGUCUCUGGCGACGAGUGGCGGACGGGUGAGUAAUACUUGGGAAUCUGCCCAGUAGUGGGGGACAACGAUUCGGAAACGGAUGCUAAUACCGCAUACGCACUACGGUGGAAAGUGGGGGAUCUUCGGACCUCACGCUAUUGGAUGAGCCCAAGUCGGAUUAGCUUGUAGGUAGGGUAAUGGCCUACCUAGGCGACGAUCCGUAGCUGGUCUGAGAGGACGAUCAGCCACACUGGGACUGAGACACGGCCCAGACUCCUACGGGAGGCAGCAGUGGGGGAAUAUUGGACAAUGGGCGCAAGCCUGAUCCAGCAAUGCCGCGUGUGUGAAGAAGGCCUGCGGGUUGUAAAGCACUUUCAGUAGAGAAGAAAAGCCUAGGGUUAAUACCCCUGAGUCUUGACGUAACCUACAGAAGAAGCACCGGCUAACUCCGUG